GAUGAACGCUGGCGGCGUGCCUAAUACAUGCAAGUCGAGCGAACGGACGAGAAGCUUGCUUUUCUGAUGUUAGCGGCGGACGGGUGAGUAACACGUGGAUAACCUACCUAUAAUACUGGGAUAACUUCGUGAAACCGGAGCUAAUACCGGAUAAUAUUUUGAACCGCAUGGUUCAAAAGUGAAAUACGGUCUUUCUGUCUCUUAUAGAUUUAUCCGCGCUGCAUUAGCUAGUUGGUAAGGUAACGGCUUACCAAGGCAACGAUGCAUAGACGAAAUGAGAGGGGGAACGGCAACACUGGAACUGAGACACGGAACAGAGUCCUACGGGAGGCAGCAGAAGGGAAUAGUCCGCAAUGGGCGAAAGCAUGACGGAGCAAAGCCGAGUGAGAGAAGAAGGUCUACGGAUCGUAAAACUCUGUUAUUAGGGAAGAACAUAUGUGUAAGUAACUGUGCACAUAGUGACGGUAACGAAUCAGAAAGCAACGGCUAACUACGUG
rnacentral:rRNA from 1 species